AUUGAACGCUGGCGGCAGGCUUAACACAUGCAAGUCGAGCGGGGGAAGGUAGCUUGCUACCGGACCUAGCGGCGGACGGGUGAGUAAUGCUUAGGAAUCUGCCUAUUAGUGGGGGACAACAUCUCGAAAGGGAUGCUAAUACCGCAUACGUCUUACGGGAGAAAGCAGGGGAUCUUCGGACCUUGCGCUAAUAGAUGAGCCUAAGUCGGAUUAGCUAGUUGGUGGGGUAAAGGCCUACCAAGGCGACGAUCUGUAGCGGGUCUGAGAGGAUGAUCCGCCACACUGGGACUGAGACACGGCCCAGACUCCUGCGGGAGGCAGCAGUGGAGAAUGUUGGACAAUGGGGGGAACCCUGAUCCAGCCAUGCCGCGUGUGUGAAGAAGGCCUUAUGGUUGUAAAGCACUUGAAGCGAGGAGGAGGCUACUCUAGUUAAUACCUAGGGAUAGUGGACGUUACUCGCAGAAUAAGCACCGGCUAACUCUGUGCCAGCCGCCGCGGUAA
rnacentral:rRNA from 1 species